rnacentral:rRNA from 1 species
UACGGGGGGGGCAAGCGUUGUUCGGAAUUACUGGGCGUAAAGGGCUCGUAGGCGGCCAACUAAGUCAGACGUGAAAUCCCCAGACUCAACCUGGGAACUGCGUCUGAUACUGGAUGGCUUGAAUUCGGGAGAGGGAUGCAGAAUUCCAGGUGUAGCGGUGAAAUGCGUAGAUAUCUGGAGGAAUACCGGUGGCGAAGGCGGCAUCCUGGACCGACAUUGACGCUGAUGAGCGAAAGCUAGGGGAGCAAACGGGG